rnacentral:rRNA from 1 species
UGCAACCUGAACUCAGACGUGAAUGCCCGCUGAACUUAAGCAUAUCAUUUAGCGGAGGAAAAGAAACUAA